UCCCACAGCCGUAUCACCCUGCAACCCAAGAACGCUUACCCACUUAAGCUAAGCAGGGCUGAGCCUGGACAGUAACUGGAUGGGAGACCACAUGAGAAAACUAGGUUGCUGUUGGAA
rnacentral:rRNA from 1 species